rnacentral:rRNA from 1 species
GAUGAACGCUGGCGGCGUGCCUAAUACAUGCAGGUAGAACGCUGAAGCUUGGUGCUUGCACCGAGCGGAUGAGUUGCGAACGGGUGAGUAACGCGUAGGUAACCUGCCUCUUAGCGAGGGAUAACUAUUGGAAACGAUAGCUAAUACCGCAUAAAAGUUGACAUUGCAUGAUGUUGAUUUGAAAGAUGCAAUUGCAUCACUAAGAGAUGGACCUGCGUUGUAUUAGCUAGUUGGUGAGGUAACGGCUCACCAAGGCGACGAUACAUAGCCGACCUGAGAGGGUGAUCGGCCACACUGGGACUGAGACACGGCCCAGACUCCUACGGGAGGCAGCAGUAGGGAAUCUUCGGCAAUGGGGGCAACCCUGACCGAGCAACGCCGCGUGAGUGAAGAAGGUUUUCGGAUCGUAAAGCUCUGUUGUAAGAGAAGAACGAGUGUGAGAGUGGAAAGUUCACACUGUGACGGUAACUUACCAGAAAGGGACGGCUAACUACGUGCCAGCAGCCGCGGUAAUACGUAGGUCCCGAGCGUUAUCCGGAUUUAUUGGGCGUAAAGCGAGCGCAGGCGGUUAGAUAAGUCUGAAGUUAAAGGCUGUGGCUUAACCAUAGUACGCUUUGGAAACUGUUUAACUUGAGUGCAGAAGGGGAGAGUGGAAUUCCAUGUGUAGCGGUGAAAUGCGUAGAUAUAUGGAGGAACACCGGUGGCGAAAGCGGCUCUCUGGUCUGUAACUGACGCUGAGGCUCGAAAGCGUGGGGGGCAAACAGG